rnacentral:tRNA from 1 species
AAUUAGGUGAUUUAGAGUAAAUCACCUGAUUUGAAGUCAGGAAAACCUGAGUUCAAAUCCAGCCUAAAUA